CUGGCGCGCCUACCAUGCAAGUCGAACGGUAACAGGAAGCUCUUGCUGCUUUCCUCACCAGUGGCGGACGGGUGAGUAAUGUCUGGGAAACUGCCUGAUGGAUGGGGAUAACUACUGGAAACGGUUACUAAUACCGCACAACGUCGCAAGAUGGGGAGGGGGACCUUCGGGCCUCUCGCCUUCGGAUGUGCCCAGAUAGGAUUAGCUUGGGGGUGGGGUAACGGCUCGCCUAGGCCACUAUCCCUAGCUGGUCUGAGAUGAUGACCACCCACACUGGAACUGAGACACGGUCCCUACUCCUACGGGAGGCGGCAGUGGGGAAUAUUGGACAAUGGGCGCGAUCCUGAUGCGCCCAUGCCGCGUGUAUGAACAACGCCUUCGGGUUGUAUUGUACUUUCAGCGGGGAGGAAGGCGUUAAUGUUAAUAACCUUGUCCAUUGACGUUACCCGCAGAACAAGCACCGGCCAACUCCGUGCGGCCGCCAAAAAAAAAAUAAA
rnacentral:rRNA from 1 species